AGCUCUUCCCUCUCCCCGAGCUGCUCCUUUCUGAGGUCUGCAAUUGGAUGGCCCCCUCUCAUCAUUUGGCUUCAGCUCAGAUGUUUAGUUGCCCUCAGGAAGCUGCCUCCUACAUCUGUGACCUCAUCACUUGCCAUUGUCUACCACCACACCUUGGCUCAUGUUCCACAGCACUCACCUCUCUUAAGGAAUUCACGUAAGUGCUGAGAAGUAAUGGAACCUGGACUCUCCACUUUUGAGGCAGGGCUGACAGCUGAGCGUGGACGUGGAUGGUGGGGAAAACACAGCUAUGACAGCCUUCCCCACAGUUUAAGGUAUCAACAAAUUUAAUUCUCACUCCACAGGAAGACUCCAGAAGACUAAAAAAAUCUCACUUUGACAGCUUUCAGAUGCCUCCAGUCCCUGCUUCACCCUAUUCAGAUGCACAGAGAUCUUGUGUUGCCCCUGAAGAUACUCUCACUCAGCCUUCCCUCUGUCUGCAGAGAUGGCUUUGACAGCCCCACACCUACAAUCUCCAGCUUCUCUUCUGAGCUGUGCUCAGGGUUCUGCUGCUCUUGGGACCCAGCCUGGUAGCAUGACCCCCACUUCCCCAGCUCCCGCAGUCCUCCCAGCCUGUGAGUCACCAUCGAUUCUUCCAGAGAGGAGUCACUCUCAUCAAAUUUGAAACCUCGUGACACUCUAUACCCAGCAUCUGGCUCACCAAUCAUUUCCGGCUAGUGGGAAAGGUCCUGAUGGUUCAAGGUUGAAAUGUGAUUUUAAUAAAAAUAAUGCUAAAAUGA